AGGUUUGAUUAUUGGAGUUCUGAUUUCAGCGGGGAUUUGGGAAUCAGAAGCCCAUUCCCGCGAAUGACAAAAUUAUCCCCAUUAUAUUUUUUAUUUUACUAAAAUACCCUCUUUACAAUUAAAUAAUAAAAAUUGAAAAAAAUGAAAAACCCACGAAAUCCUUAACCCAGCGGCCAACUGACCCACUCGUCGUCUAUCAUCUGGAACCAAAGAAACGAUCGGCGGCAGCACCUUCGCCAGUUGCAGGCCAUCUCUGUUGCUUGUCAUCGGUCGGAUGUCGCCGCUGUCAAUGUUCAGGCUCUCCGUCGUCGUCGAAGAACAAUUGAAUUAUGAUGAUUAUUGAUGGUAAGAUUGGUGAUGAUGAUGAUUUUUUAUGACAAGCAAUAGAGAUGAUGAUGAUUAUUAUUGAUGAUGUAAUUGUGAUGAUGAAGAUGAUGUAUUUGUGAUGACGAUGAUGAAAAUUUUGAUGUUGAUGAAGAAGAAGAACCGAAAUCGACAGGAGGAAAAAGAAGAAAUUGUGAUGAUAAUGAUGUUGAUGAAGAAGAUGAAAUUGGCGUGAUUGAUGACGAAAAAGUAACGAGCAAUUUGCGGAAAAGAGAAAGAAAAAAGAGAAGAAGAAGAAGAAGAAGAGAAAAGAAAAAAGAAACAUAUUAGAGAUAAAAAUAAUAAAAAAAUGAAAGAGGACAAAAAUUAUAACUAUUAUUAUUAUUAAAAGUAAUGUUUUUAAUAAUAAUAAUCAUAAUCAUAAUUAUAUAAUAAAAAUAAUGAGAAUAAUACGUUAAAGGGUAUUAUUGUAAUUUAUAAUAAUUUUUUCUGAUUUUAAAAUAAAAAUAUCAAUAAAAUU
rnacentral:lncRNA from 1 species